GGUAAAAUGACUGAGUAAGCGUUAGACUGUAAAUCAAAAGAUGGAGGUCAAGGCCUCCUUUUACCA
rfam:Homo sapiens chromosome 2, GRCh38 reference primary assembly.